CAGUCGCCGCGGGAAUACGUAGGGUGCAAGCGUUAAUCGGAAUUACUGGGCGUAAAGCGUGCGCAGGCGGUUAUAUAAGACAGAUGUGAAAUCCCCGGGCUCAACCUGGGAACUGCAUUUGUGACUGUAUAGCUAGAGUACGGCAGAGGGGGAUGGAAUUCCGCGUGUAGCAGUGAAAUGCGUAGAUAUGCGGAGGAACACCGAUGGCGAAGGCAAUCCCCUGGGCCUGUACUGACGCUCAUGCACGAAAGCGUGGGGAGCAAACAGGAUUAGUUACCCGCGUAGUCCCUGUCUCUUAUAC
rnacentral:rRNA from 1 species